UCAAAACGCACAGUUGCACUUGAGGAGAGAGCCCGCGGCCAAUUGAAUCAAUUUUUCCUUCGAAGGUUAACCUAGUUGUUGAACGAAGAUGACCAAUGGUGCUUGAAGGUCUCAUGCUAAUUCAGAUGGGUGUUGGUGCGGAACAAAAGGGGUUGGAAACUGGUUCAGAUUGGCGUCUUUUGGGAAGCAUAGGAUUAGGUCUCAGUUCUUUCUUUUUCUGUUUUUCAGAAGAGAGUCUUAAAUAUAGAUGGAGAGCUAGUAGAGUCAAGAGCUUCUUCUUCUGAGUAAUCUUCCAUGUACUCUUGCAUUUUAGAUUUCUGCUUUAGUGAAUUUCUGUUUAAGUUCUUAUGAUAGUCUGAAUUUUAAUCAUAUUUUGAUUUCCUUUCUUGCCCAAUUGUGCUUUGGUCUUGUUUUCAUUAUUCUGAUUUUUACUAUGUAUCUUAUGGCAUGUAUUCUUUUUUUUUUUUUAGUUUCGGUAGUUGAAAUUCUUAGGCUUAGUUCUUGUCCGUUUCAAUCUUAAUUCAAACUUAUGCUGUUGAAUUUAACCGAAAAUUUGGAAAUAGAAUCUGUAAGUACUUUGGUCUCUAAUCAGAAACCCACAGGACCUCAAAGUGGGCCUAUUUUGUUCCAAAAUGUCUUUUUGAGACAGACUUUAAUUGAAUUAACCAAUUAAGUUUAGAAAUUCAUUUUCGGUUUUGAUAUUCAGUUUUGCUUGAUAGUUUUGUGCUUUUCUUGUUCUAUUUUUCUUUUAGUUCUAAUCUUGUUUCCUUUAAAUUCCGCCCUAAACUCUAUUCUUAUUGUUUUGUGAUUUCAAGUUCUUACUGCACAUGCAUUGCAUUCAGCAUCUAUAUCAGAUUCAUGAUUUCAAGUUUCUUCACUACAUUUAUUUUAAUUUUCAGUUUCUUGCAUAUAUUGGAUACCUAAUUGUAGAUUAGUGUGCCCUGCGCAUUUUGUGGUUUAGGUAGGUGUCUUUAGUUCACUGCAUAAUACAUAUAACUGGUUAUCACCAUUGGUGUAAGAUCUAGAAUCACAUAUCCCUCAUGAGUUGCAUUUACAGAGUAGUUAGUACUGCAUUUGCAUCUGCACUAGAGUAACAAAUUCAAUUCUGAUUUAGCUGUACACUCCUUUCAAUUUCCAGUUUUCACGCAUAACUAGUUAAUACCAAUUUAGGAAUUUUUACUUCUCUGCAUAGAGUUUUUAGGUAACCAUGCGUAGCAUGAUGUUUGUUAGAAUCUAUGCAUUCAUUGGUUGUUUGUAAUUUUGAUUCUACAUUUUAGCUUCCUUUCCAAGAUUGUCUUCUGUUUUGGCAUAUCAUAAGUAUUUUUGGGAUUGUCCAUUACAUUGCACUAGUUCAGUUUUGGCAUCUUAUUUACACUAUCAUAUUGCAUUUUUGAUUCAAUUUCUCUGUAUAAAAUAUAACUUUAAUAUUGGUUUAAUUUUCAGGUCAUGAUUAGUGCAGAUUAGCUGUUUUAGAUAUAGUUUCUUUGAAUUGUGCAUUUUAUUCAGCUUUAGGCUAUAAUUUUCGUUAACUGCAUCUUUUAAGACUAGUGUGACUUGUUAUUUUUUCUGUCUUGAUUAAUCAACACUGGUUCAAGGUUUGGUUUUAAGUUUUAAAUCCAAGUGGCAUAUUUUUAAUGCAUUGCUUGACUUUUCUUAAUAUUUCUUAUUUGUUCUUGUGCUUGCUUGCAUAAUAGUGGUGUAGCUGCAUUGUGCCAAUCGAGUUUGCGUUUUUUGGUUAGGCUAAUAAGCUUCACUACUGUCAUUGCCUUUUGUGAGUCACACUAGUGGAUUCUAUAGCCCUGUUUGCUCGAAAUUCAUGCACUGCAUAUUCAUUCAUAGAUAAACAUUAUAAAUUUGCAUGAUAAUUACACCAAAAUGUUGUAAUGUUAGCUUUGUUGUCUUUUAGGAGUCUAUAAGCAGUUUUCAGUUUCCAAUUCUUCUCUGUAAUUGCGCAACUUAUUCCAUUCUUACUAGCCAUUUUAGAAUUACAUAAGCAUUCAUUUAGGUAUUUAUCUAGGUAGUAUUGUACGGCAUAAAAACACUAUAGUAGAGCUCCAUUCUAAAGGUAGUAAAUCCUGCUAGUUUUAGGUUCAUAAGCAUAGAUCAAAAUUUUUCAUUUUCAUCUACAUUUAGUUGUAUAAUUCAUUUUAGGAAGAUAGUUUAGAUUAGUUGCUUACAGUCGUGCAUCUUCCGUAGCAUUUUUUAAUAUUUCCAUAGCAUACAUCUAGAGCAGUUUAGUAUUUCAUUCAUUCAUUUCACAUUUUAAUUUCCCCAUUGCAUUCUCAUGUUUGCAAGAAUAACAUACAAACUAUACUUAAUAAGCACCUUGGAUUUGAUACACAAAAUUUUGCUAUACUAUAUUAGGGGAAUUUUGGAAUUGUUUGCUAUAUCUUAGUGCGACAUAGGGUUUAACAAUGCCAAGAUGAUCCAAGACUUGCAUGCUCAAGUUAGGAACAAUAUAGAGAGGAAGGCUGCGCAAUACCAAAUGUUUGCCAAUGAAGGGUUUAAGAAUUCGUGAUUAAAUUCUUUUCAAGAAGGGGAAGAUGAUGAGUUCAUGAUUCACCAUGAAGCAAUAGAGGACCUUCCAAGGAGAGUUCCAAGAAGCAUGACUAGAAGAGAGGCCUCUAACCCUUCUUCUUUAUUUUUAUUUUCUAUUUCAUUAUGUUGACUUUUCUUAAGUUGACUUUUGUUGACCAUAGUUGACUUGACUUAAGUUGAUAUGCUAACUCUUUUGUUUGUUUGAUUUGUAGGACAAGCUAGUGCCAACUUGGAGGUGUGUAGCACUACUUGGGUUGGAGGUUAACCUUCUCCAUCUAGUAGGUGAAAGGCGCCACCUAGGUAGCUUGUAGGCCAAGCUAGGGUUCUCUCCAAUUCAAGACACCGCCUUUCGACCUAGUUUACUUGUUUGUCUUUUUGUAGUUGCACCCUUCUACUUUGUAUUUUUGCAAGGAGACCCUUUCCUUCACUUAUGAAAGGGGCUCUCCCAGACUAUUAUAAUAGUUGAAUAUUUUUUAAAAUAAAACACUAUAUUUGACCA